CGUGUUCAAAAUGUGUACCAGACAGACAGACAGGCAGCUGUACGGUCUGUGUUCGAACCUCGACUAUUACAGAGGACUGAAGUAAUCCACGCUGCUUGGAAGUCCCAGAUGGUCAAGGAGGAGUGCAGUGUUUCACGUGACUAGGUAUUCCUCAAUGUAUUCUGGACUCAUCCAUUUCUAGCAACUCCCAAUGUUUGCUUAUGCUAUCAACUGUUUGACACUUUUCAACGUGGAUUGCUUUUUGCUUUUUUGAAUGCGUUCUUUCGGGAAUAAAAACUCAUAGGUCCUAAUCCGAAUCUAUUUCUAGUAGCUCCAAAUGUUUUUUUUUACUUAUUUUUUUAUUUGCCACUUUUAAAGUUCGAUUACCUUUAGCUUUUUUUAAGGUGUUAUUUUCAGGAAUAUCAUAUUUUAUCUUAUAUAAUACAGACUUAACUUAAAAAAAAGAUGAUUACGUCAUACGCCUAUUCCUAGGUCUUUCUAGUCAUGGAUGUUAACCAUGGACUUAACUUCUGCCAAAUCAUUGGUUUUCCUGGCUGGCUCAGAAAAAACAUUCCAUGCUCUAAUAGCACUAGGGAAGAAGGGUAAUAUUUUUUUUUUCAUAAGAUAAGAUAAUUUUUAUUGGUCCAAUCAAAUGUAAAUUCAAAGUUCGACUACAAUUUGACCCCCUCAGCCUAAC
rnacentral:sRNA from 1 species